rnacentral:lncRNA from 1 species
AGGAGCUGCUCCCUGGAUGGGGAGAUGGGAGCUAGCAGCUCACAAUGGGGUCACAAGAUGCAUGGUGAAUAUUUGAUGUUUUAGAACAAAAAGGUAUUUACAAAUCUAAUUUGAUGCAAACAUCUGGAAAUACUCAGAAGUUACAAGAAUUCAUAAAAUACCCACCAAAGCUAAUAGAAAACAUGGGACCUUCCAGGACGAGAAGUAAACUGAAAGAACCCAGAGGAGAAAUCAAAGUGAGAAACCAGUGCCCCCUUCAGGUACUGGAUGAUCACAGGGACCUCAAGACUGGGGAUUAUUCAACUACCUUCUUGGAAUAAACAAAGAAAGUU